GAUGAACGCUAGCUACAGGCUUAACACAUGCAAGUCGAGGGGCAGCAUAUAGAUAGCUUGCUAUUUAUGAUGGCGACCGGCGAAAGGGUGAGUAACGCGUGAGCAACAUGCCCGAUACUGGAGGAUAGUCGAUGGAAACGUCGCGUAAUACUCCGUAACAACAGAGACCGCAUGAUCUUUGUUUAAUAGAUUUAUCGGUAUCGGAUUGGCUCGCGUCCCAUUAGGCAGUUGGCGGGGUAACGGCCCACCAAACCGACGAUGGGUAGGGGUUCUGAGAGGAAGGUCCCCCACAUUGGAACUGAGACACGGUCCAGACUCC
rnacentral:rRNA from 1 species